rnacentral:rRNA from 1 species
UACGGAGGGUGCAAGCGUUAUCCGGAUUCACUGGGUUUAAAGGGUGCGUAGGCGGACAGAUAAGUCAGUGGUGAAAUCCCCGAGCUUAACUUGGGAACUGCCAUUGAUACUAUUUGUCUUGAAUGUCGUGGAGGUUAGCGGAAUAUGUCAUGUAGCGGUGAAAUGCUUAGAUAUGACAUAGAACACCCAUUGCGAAGGCAGCUAACUACGCGAAUAUUGACGCUGAGGCACGAAAGCGUGGGGAUCAAACAGG